rnacentral:lncRNA from 1 species
UUCAUUUAAAAGUGUCCUAAAGACCCUUACACCCCACCCCCCAAAAAAUAAAACACCCUCUCCAAUCCUCUCUUCUUGUCUCUCUCAAGCUCCGCCUAGAACCGCCACUGGAAAUCGUCUACGGCAGUGGACGGUCUUCAAAUCCAUCAAAAACAUCACCUCAUAAUCUCCUUCUCCCACUCAUCCUUAAUCUACCACCAUUUUCCCAACACCCCCCACUAAACUCGACGUCUAUUAGAUCUAGGAUUUGACCAGAACCCUAAAUUGUCCUCUUUCGAUUUUCUUUCAAAUCCUAACAUGUUUUGCAUUUUAACUUACAUCAAUCGAUUACUCUCGUUGAGAGCUAUCGAUUGAUGUUGAUUUUACACCAUUUCACGAUCGUCAGAGUUUAGUCAACUGCCAUUGACCACCACCGUCCUCACUCAGUGUUGCCGUUCUUCUUCCAACUUGCGAUGGACAGUGUUUCAUGCAUCACAAGAUGAGCUUCUAAGCUCAAACCUGUGGUCGUGAAGCACUGACCAUUGCUGGCCGGAAUUUCUUUCUCUGGUCGGCACAGAGUUUUGACAUGUAGUUUCAAUUUCCUUAGUGCCUAAUUUCAUUUCCUGUUUUAUCAUUUUUAUUAUUUAUCUCAGUAUGUCAGUAUACAUGUUUGAUUAGAAUGCCUCUGUUAGAAUUUUUUAUUAAGUCCUAUAGGUUAAUUUGUUUGAUUUAGGCAUGAUGAUUUAAAUUGAAUCAUUUGUUUAGAGUUUAGCUUGACUAGGAUUAGUUUAUUUGGGCUUGUUUUGAGUCCGAAUAGGCCCUGCAAUGACCAAGUGGGCAUUUUAGUCUGUUGGGCCAAGUAAAGGAAGACCCAGAACUGUUAUCGCCCAUUAUUUGAUGUCUGUAAGUGUAAAAGGUAAGACGAUAAAGAAUUUAGUUUAAAAUUGUCAUAGGAGCUUCUAGGAGAGUGUAUAAAAAGAUGCUUUAGCAAUAAAGAAAAGGAGGAGGUCAGGUGAGCGGGGGUGAUGGAGUGAAAACAGAAUUUGAAAAGGAGUUAAAAAUAAAAAGGAAAAUCUGAGAGGGGCCUUGAAGAGAAUCAGUUAUAAAAGGGCAUGCUCACACACACACAAUUCAUUCAUUCACUCCCCUACACACUCACUUUCACACAUACACUCUCAUUCUCAAUCACGCACCUCUCACCUGGAAAAAGCUGAAACAAAUUUUCAAAAAUUGAAAAAACUUCAAAAAGGAAAACCAGAUCUGAAGAACAAAAACCAAAAAGGAUUUCAAAAGCUGCUCUAAUUUCUGCUGCUUUACUUCAAUAUUUAAUGGUUUCUCAAGCUGUUUUGGGGCUGGAAAUUAAAGUUGUUAGCUGUUUUAUUGUUGAUCGUACUGCUGAACUCCAUCUUCUUCUUCUAGACCAUUAUUUGGUCAAUCCCUGCUUUUUCUCUGCUGUUUAGGUAUGUCUUAAAGACUUCCCUGUAUUUUGUCUUUCAUUGAAUGGUUAUAACACUGAACUCAUGUGAAAUCUCUGUAAGGUUGUUUGAUAUUUCAUUGUUGUUAUUCUGAACGCAUAUGACCUGUUUACUCUAUCGUGUUUUGAUCUUAGAGAAUGCUUGGGAUAAAUCGAACAUGAUGUUUACUAGAUUUCAUUGAUUUGCUGCUUCCAGCUAGGAAUGUUGUUGCUUAUUGUUUGUUCGCUUAGAACUUACAUUGCAUCUCUAGUAACAUCAAUUGCUAUCCAACUCUUCAAUUAGAUGUUGUGCAUGCUAUUGCUGUCGAAAAUUAUGAUUGUUUGAUGUCUCUGUGUUAUUAGCACUCUAGAACAUUCUGCAAACUCACAAGUAAUUCGAUCUGGGAGCUGCUGGCUAUUAAAUUCAUUAACAAUUGGAGGAUUGAUCUAACUAAAAGAAUCAGAAGCUUUAGCUGACACAAAUCAAACCUCUGUUUUAAAAGGCAGAAUUAGGACUCGCUCGGGUCGCCCUGGGGCGGAGCACUCGUAAAACGUCCUAGGCUUAUGUGUGGGGCUUAGUUCCGUGAGACUUACGCCCCCGACACGCCCAACGUCCAGCGUACUGGGCUCGCCUAAUCGAAAUUUAUGCAAUUGUGUGUAACUAACCUUGUAAAUCCUCACAUUUUCUUAAUAAAUCGUUGACUAUUCAAAAUUACUUUUGUCUUAAUGAUAAAUCAUUAAGUUUAGAGUAUUUUAUGCCAAAAUUAAAAUUAAAAUUAUCCACGUUAUCCACUAAGACUGCUAUGAUAGUAAAUUUUAAAUAAAUCUUUAAAAAGUAUUUAUUUAUUAACUUUUGUUAUGUCUUUAUUAUAUAAUAGUCCAUAAUUCUUUUUAUAAUUAUUUUCCUAAAUAUUUUUUUUUUUUUACGUUUACGAGAUACAAUACUUAUUAAUUUAAUAGCUUAGUAUUAGCUAGUAAAUAUUUACAAAUAAUUAGUUAUCAUGGUUUAGUAUGGUGAAUUAUGUGUCACUUUAUUAACUUGUUGAAACUUAAAAAUACAUGAUGCUAGAGAAUCAUAUUUAAAUUGUGAAUUAUGUUUUUAUAUAAAUUCUCUUUCAAAUAGAAAGCAUAUUAAAUAAAAGGAGUAUUUAAAUAAAAAAUCAAAUUAUAAUAUCGAAAUUCUUUCAAGAUCCAUUACUCCUUAAGAGAUACAUAUAAGAUUUCGUAUCGAAUACAUUACUUUUGAUAUUUGAGUUGUAACGAUGUUGCAACUAAUUUGCAUAUUAUGAUAUAUGUCAUACUUUUCAUAUUAUUCAUAGUUGAAUUAUAAUUUAUAAAUAUUGUAAAUAGAUUAUUUGUUAUAAUUUUGUGAUUUUAAUGUAAUUUUUAUUUUAUACUAUCUUAAAAUUCUUGAAAUUAGUAAAAUUUAAAAAUCUGUGGGACUUACGCCCCAUGUCUCAGGGCUUAUGCCUUGCCUCGUCAGAGGUAAAACGCAUCGCCUCACGCCCACACCUUUUAAAAUAUUGAAUCAAACACUGAGGAUUCAUUUGAUGUAAUCUGAAUGACAUUCAGUAAUUCUACAGUAGUAAUUUCUGAAAAUGGCCAUUGUUGUAAAGUUUCAAUUAGAAUCGCUGAUAUAAUGAUGUGAUUCUGUGAUUUAGAAAGUCAUGUAUUAAUCUAUGAAGUAGUGUGCCAUUAUUUCCAUUUAUCAUGUUGUGUUUUAAGCCUGCUGAAAUCCAAAUUGGAAUUGGUAGCUGUUGAAUUUUGAUUCCAAAAAUCGCUGGGCUGAGCGAUCAAUUCAGGCGAGAUUGCCUCCAGCCCGGAGUCGAUAGGUUUUAUACUCUAUAUAUAUUUGGGCUCAAUUUCAAGCCCAACAGCUACGUGCAAAAUUGUGUGAAAGGCAUGUUAAUUUCGGAGAGUGUUAUGAUAGCUUGGGCUUCAUUCUUAGCCCAGCGCUAUUCUCUUUUGGACCUGAUGGAGGUCAUGAUGUGAUUAAUGGACCUUUUAUAAGUAAAAAUUGCACGGGACGGCCUAUUUGGUCGCCCCCAUUUAACCUAUAUUCACUUUUUUAAAAAGUUUUAACUUGUACCCACUUUUUAAAUAAUUCAAGCCUCUUUCUCCUCCUUCGUUUUCUGAAUGCUGAAGCUUGAGAUAUUGUUAUGCGUUUUAACCUGAUGAUUCAUAUAUAUCUGCUUGUCCCAUUAUGUUCAGUUUGGUCUUAUUCACAAUAAUUUAACCUCUUAGAUAUUUUAGCUUUACAGGCACAUUGGUUUUUGGUUCUAAUUUAUAUGUAGUAACUUGUUUUCAUGUCGAAAAUAUUUUUCAUUCUUUAAUCUUUGAAAUAAACAGCAUCAAUCGCUGCUAAUCAUGAUCUANNNNNNNNNNNNNNNNNNNNNNNNNNNNNNNCAAAAACUUCAGCUCCUAAAAUACUGUAGUUCAGCAAAUACAAAACAAACUUCAGCCCUAGAAUGCUGAAGUUCAGCAAUUACAAAACAAACUUCAGCUCCUAGAAGACUGAAGUUCAGCAAUUACAAAAUAAAAACUUCAGCCAAAAUAUGUUGUAGUUUUAUUGAGUUGAAGUUUGCCACUACACUAUGAACUAAAGUUUGCGUGAUUUUCUUUGCAAGUCAGGCCAAACUUCAGGCAAAACAUUCUGAAGUUCAAACUUCAAACAUAAAUUUUUGGUACUUGAGACCCGUAUGUCUGAAGUUACCCGAAAAGUGGGUACGCUUGCAAUUUUUUUUGCAAAGCAGGUAUAAGUUAAAAGUUGACCCAAAAAUUGGGUAUAGAUGCAAAUGCCCCCUUUUAUAAUUAUCCACUUUUGUAUUAAUUAACGUUGAAUCAGUAAAUAAUAGACAAGUUUAGGUUACAUUCAAACUAUACCCAUCAAACUACUGGGUUAUGUUCAUACAUCUCAAUAAUGGAAUAAGCUUAUGUACGCAUACUCCCUAUCUUGAAAGUUUACACUGAAAAUUUAUGUUUCUUAUAUAUGCUUGUCUACAAUAGUUCCAUAAUUAUGAGCCAUUUUCACAGAUAAUCUCGAAUUUAAGAAAAUUAAUUAACUCUUGAAAAUUGUAGUUUGCCUUAGGUGCGACUAAUAGUAAUAUAUCGAGACUAUGGGUACGGUUCCCGUGGCAUAGUCAUGAUACGUAACUCCAAGUUUAAGUGCACGCUCGUGUAACUUGACCCCAAUUUCAAAGUAAUAGUAAAAUGAACAUGUCACAAAUUGUGGGUGCGUUGCGCAAUUUGCGAUGUAUAUAAAGCAACAAGUGUACGGCAUCAUAACUUAUUUUGAAAUAACUCCAUAAAUAUUAAAAAUGGUUCAAAUAAAAGCGGUAAAGGGUUAAGAUGCACAUAGGUUUAAAAUAUGUAAUAAUCAGAUAAUUAAGCCAAGUUUAAUUGUGAAGCGACCGUACUAAAAUAAAGAAAUCCGGGAGUGCCUCACACCUUCUCACAGGUUAACAAAAUUCCUUACCCCGUCUGCUGUAUUUCGCAGACUUUAACAGAGUCAAAAUUUCAUUGAUUUGGGAUUUUAAAAUAAAUGGCGACUUGGGACGCCGUAAAAAAUUAUUCCAAGUGGCGACUCUUAAAAUUAAAAUAAUUAAUCCCAUUUCAAUAAUGCCACUUAAAGUGAAAAAACUCUUUUCCCCGUAAAAAAAAAAAGGUUGACACCCAUGAGAAGAAUUAUCCGGCUCAUGAUUUGGAGUUGGAAACAAUUGUGCAUGUAGUUAAUAUUUGGAGGAAUUACUUGUAUGGUGUGUCAUGUGAGGUUUAAACUGAUCAUCAGAGUCUUCAGCAUUUAUUCAAACUGAAGGAUUUAAAUUUGAGACAGCAGAGGUGGUUGGAUGUGCUGAAGGAUUAUGAUAUCAUUAUAUUGUAUCACCGGGUAAGGCGAAUGUGGUAGGAGAUGCUUCAAGUAGUAAGGCAGAGAGUAUUGGUAGUUUGGCAUUUAUUCUAGUUGUGGAGAGGCCUUUGGCUAUGAUAUUCAGGCCUUGGCUAAUAAAUUUGCAAGAUUGGAUAUUUUCGAGCCUAGUAGAGUUCUUGCUUGUGUUGUUGCGCAAUCAUCCUUGAUUGAGUGAAUUAAGGAUCGUCAGUAUGAUGAUCCACAUUUGCUUGUCCUCAAGGACAUGGAAUCGUGAGGUGGUGCUACGAAGGUGAUCAUUGUGGAUAACAAUGUAUUACGACUCGAGGGUCAGAUUUGUGUCCCUAAUGUUGCUAGUUUGAGGGAUUUGAUUCCUCGGGAGGCUCACAGUUCGCAGUAUGCUAUUUAUCCAGGUGCUACAAAGAUGUAUCAUGAUUUGAAGCAGCGUUAUUGGUGGCAAAGAAUGACGAAAGACAUUGUUGGGCAUGUUUCGCGGUAUUUGAACUGUCAGCAGGUCAAGUAUGAGCAAUAGAAACUAGGGUUUGCUUCUUAAGAUGGAUAUACCGAAGUGGAUGUAGGAGCGCAUUACUAUGGACUUUGUGGUAAGAUUGCCACAGACCUCGAGGAAGUUUGAUGUUAUUUGGGUUAUUGCGGAUAGAUUGACCAAGUGUGCACAUUUUGUUCUAGUCAUGACUUCUUACACUUAGAGAAGUUGGCUCAGAUCUACAUCAGAGAGAUUGUCCAUUUGCAUGGCAUGCCUAUUUCUAUCAUCUCAAACUAUGGUACUCAGUUCACGUCGCACUUUUGGGGAGUUGUUCAGCAAGGGUUGGGCACGCAAGUGGAGCUUAGCACUGCAUUUCACUCACAGACGGAUAGGAAGUUCGAGCGGACUAUUCAGAUCCUUGAAGAUAUGUUGAGAGCCUGUGUUAUUGAUUUUGGAGGUCAUUUGGAUCAAUUUCUGCCAUUGGCAAAUUUGCUUAAAACAACAGCUACCGGUCAGUAUUCAGAUGGUGCCGUAUGAGGCUUUAUAUGGUAGAUAGUGACAUUCUCUACUUGGUUGGUUUGAGCCUAGUGACGCUGGGUUGUUGGGUACAGAUUUGGUUCGUGAUGUUUUAGUGGCUUAUGCAUAGUUAGGUUAUGACCAUAUCCGGUAGAGUUUGCCUUGUUUGGACCAUGUGAUUUCAUUAUCCAUAUUUCAUUGAUUGUAUGAUUAUGUGAUAACUCAUAAUUAUGAUUAAGGAGCAUGCUUAAGGUUAUAAAUUGUUAAAUUGGGAAUAAAGCAUUAUUUUUACAUGCUUAUUAAGUUGUAGUCAUACACUUGACUUAAUUGACUCAUGAUUUGGUGGUUAAAUGUCUUAAUUUACUCAUGUUAAAUGUUAUGAUUAGACUUUUGAAUGUUAAAAUAGCUUAUUGAACUAAAUAGCUUAUUGAACUAUUAUGAUAAAUUGAAUUACAUGAAUAGCCAUAGCCAUCUUUUAGCUAUGUGCGCUUUUAUCGGCAUUUCUAUUGUUAUAUUCUAAUGCCUUUUAAUUAUAUUAUUUUAUACACAUAUGCAUGAGUUGGAUAUUGAGAAAAGUUGAGGAUUUUGGCAUUAAGGAUACUAUGAGCGGUUAUUGAUUAUUGAUAAUUGAUCAUUGAUUGUAAAAUAAUCAAUGCUUGGAUAUGGAUUCGUUCCUCCGAAGUCAGGUGAUUACCUAUGUUACUUUGGGCCCUGUGAGCAUAGACACUCAUGUUUGGUGCUUGGUUUGGACACAUGGCCUAUGUCAACCACAUGGAUUUGUGUUGUGAGGUAUUGAGAAGGGAUCCUGAGCAUGCAUAUUUAUGUAUCUUAGAUUCAUGCAGUUUCUUUUAUAUAUAUGUUUGUUGAUAUACAUCAUGUCUUUAUUCGAGGACUGAGGCAUUUGACAUCUCAUUCAAUCUCUUUUAUCUGCAAAGUAUGCCUAAAUUCCACAUUUACUGUGUCUUUAGCUUUCGUACCUAUUUGAUGAUACUAUGCCUUAUUUCUCAUCUUUUUAUGCUUUCACUUGAUUAUUUAAUUGUUAGUAAAUGUCUAUGUCGACCCCUCGCUACUACUUCUUCAAGGAUAGACUUGAUACUUAUUGAGUACCAUAAUUUUGUACUCAUACUACGCUUCUGCACAUUUUUGUGUAGGUCCUGAGGCAGGUACUAGUGGUACCCAUUCAGCUGAGUAGGAGUAUUUGUUGGAGACUUCAUCAUGAGCUGCUUCACUUGAUCUGAUCCACAACACAUUGAGUCCCCCUUCCCUACUUGUCUACCUCUGUCUAUGUAUUUCCUUUACGGACAGAUGUUUUUGAUUAGUUUGAGACUAUUUACUUUUAUUAGAUGUUCGUGAUAAUUUGAC